rfam:Schistosoma rodhaini strain Burundi genome assembly, scaffold: SROB_scaffold0000773
CACUACUGAGGAGUCCCACAAUAGGACGAAACGGCCGUCCACUGG